UGGUGGAGCGAUUUGUCUGGUUAAUUCCGUUAACGAACGAGACCUCUGCUUUUAAAUAAUUUUGCUAAAUCUAGUAUAUGAGUGAAUAAUGUAUUGUGUGAUCUUCGCGGUGAUCACAGUAUGUUGGGAUCUUUCUACAUUUGGUUAUUAAAAAUUUCUUAAAAGGACAGCUGGCAACAAGUCAGAGGAAGUUAGAGGCUAAAACA
rnacentral:rRNA from 1 species